rnacentral:lncRNA from 1 species
AGAGAGGGGUUCGGUUGCAGUUCAGUCAAAAGCAGAAGCCUGCUCCCCAGAGCCUUAUGCUGCUAAAAAAGCACUGAGUUGCAGAAGAAGGAACUGCCUUCCCAACUGGACGUGACCUUCAAGCAGAGAUAAUGAGAGAGAAAUUCUUGGGAAAAGCGCAAGGAAAAUAGAUGCUUCUAACAUCACGAAAGAAAAAACCUAUGGUCGUUCUCAGCCUUUGGUUGUUCCUCUGACUUGAUCCAGAUUAUGGAAAGCAGGGCUGGGGAAUGACAAUGAUCAAGACGGCAGAGCUAGGAUUGCACCUCCUCUUUUGCAUGGUUUGAGAAAAGUCUGUGCAGCGGGUCUGUCUUGUGCCAGAUGAAAAAGAAAUCAUCACAAAAGACAGCAGCUGAACAGCCUUGCGCUGGAGGAGUAACCUGUGCCAAGGAGACCUUGAAAGGUGGCAUGAGCUGCGUGUUCAGAGCUGCUGGGAGAGGACACAGUGAUUUGGAGAGAAGCCUCAGGCGCACUCUUCCGUUUCCAAGGGCAGGAAACAUCUGAUGCUUUCUUGGUCUCUUCACAACAGUUCCCUGGUUGUGAGGCCUUGGUGACACAAUCUUAGAGCCACGGGACCUGCUUUGUAGUCCCAGCAUUGUGGAAGGUGUGAGGACGCUGCAGACUGCAUGUUGUUGUCGCUCUCAGACCUGCUCUGAGCGUCUGGGAGUGCUGAUAAGAUGAGGUAUCUGAGCCCAUGUCUGUACCAUACCAACGAUGAGAGAACUACACAAAAUCUUUACCACCCGGAAAACAGUCCCUGCGCAAGCACUAUGUCCAGGAGACAUUUCCCCCCACUUUGAAAUGUGCAACACCAGAGUACUUAAAAGGCCUUUAGCAUAAGGAUUUAGGCUACUAUAUUUUAAUUUCUGUAAGUUUCUUAACAAUCUAACCUGCAUGCAUAUGGGAGGCACACCCCGUAAACUGUCACCAAAUAAUCAUUAGAGAGAGCUUUUCUUCUGGCUUGCUUACAGGAUUCAGUUUAAAUGCCAGUAAGACUGGUACCUAAUAAAUUGCAUUAUGCUUCAUUCA